GACGAACCGUGCGAACGUUAUUCGGAAUCACUGGGCUUAAAGCGCGUGUAGGCGGGGCGGCACGUCGGUCGCUGAAAGCCCCCGCUCAACCGGGGAAGUGGCGCCGAUACGACCGCCCUGGAGGGACGUAGGGGGACCUGGAACUUCCGGUGGAGCGGUGAAAUGCGUUGAGAUCGGAAGGAACGCCCGUGGCGAAAGCGAGGUCCUGGACGUUACUGACGCUGAGACGCGAAAGCCAGGGGAGCGAACGGG
rnacentral:rRNA from 1 species